rnacentral:rRNA from 1 species
AGCGAACGCUGGCGGCAGGCUUAACACAUGCAAGUCGAGCGGGCACUUCGGUGUCAGCGGCAGACGGGUGAGUAACACGUGGGAACGUACCCUUUGGUUCGGAAUAACGCUGGGAAACUAGCGCUAAUACCGGAUACGCCCUUUUGGGGAAAGGCUUGCUGCCGAAGGAUCGGCCCGCGUCUGAUUAGCUAGUUGGUGGGGUAAUGGCCUACCAAGGCGACGAUCAGUAGCUGGUCUGAGAGGAUGAUCAGCCACACUGGGACUGAGACACGGCCCAGACUCCUACGGGAGGAAGCAGUGGGGAAUAUUGGACAAUGGGCGCAAGCCUGAUCCAGCCAUGCCGCGUGAGUGAUGAAGGCCUUAGGGUUGUAAAGCUCUUUUGUCCGGGACGAUAAUGACGGUACCGGAAGAAUAAGCCCCGGCUAACUUCGUG